UGGGGAAUAUUGGACAAUGGGCGAAAGCCUGAUCCAGCAAUGCCGCGUGUGUGAAGAAGGUCUUCGGAUUGUAAAGCACUUUCGGCGGGGACGAUGAUGACGGUACCCGCAGAAGAAGCCCCGGCUAACUUCGUGCCAGCGGCCGCGGUAAUACGAAGGGGGCUAGCGUUGCUCGGAAUUACUGGGCGUAAAGGGCGCGUAGGCGGGUGUUUAAGUCAGAGGUCAAAUCCCAGAGCUCAACUCUGGAACUGCCUUUGAUACUGGACACCUAGAGUUCGGGAGAGGUGUGUGGAACUCCGAGUGUAGAGGUGAAAUUCGUAGAUAUUCGGAAGAACACCAGUGGCGAAGGCGACACACUGGCCCGAUACUGACGCUGAGGCGCGAAAGCGUGGGGAGCAAACAGGAUUAGGUACCCUGGUAGUCCACGCCGUAAACGAUGAGUGCUAGUUGUCGGCAUGCAUGCAUGUCGGUGACGCAGCUAACGCAUUAAG
rnacentral:rRNA from 1 species